rnacentral:rRNA from 1 species
CAGAGGGGGCAAGCGUUGUUCGGAAUUACUGGGCGUAAAGGGCGCGUAGGCGGCCUGCUAAGUCGAACGUGAAAUCCCUGGGCUCAACCCAGGGACUGCGUCCGAGACUGGUUGGCUUGAAUCCGGGAGAGGGAUGUGGAAUUCCAGGUGUAGCGGUGAAAUGCGUAGAUAUCUGGAGGAACACCGGUGGCGAAGGCGGCAUCCUGGACUGGCAUUGACGCUGAGGCGCGAAAGCCAGGGGAGCAAACGGGAUUAGAUACCCCGGUAGUCCUGGCCCUAAACGAUGAAUGCUUGGUGUGGCGGGUAUCGAUCCCUGCCGUGCCGAAGCUAACGCAUUAAGCAUUCCGCCUGGGGAGUACGGUCGCAAGGCUG